rnacentral:rRNA from 1 species
UUGACGGCACCCUACUAGAAAGGAGCCGCUAACUUCGUGCCAGAAGCGUCGGUAAUACGGGGGCUCCAAGCGUUAUCCGGUGUUAUUGGGCGUAAAGAGUCGUGUAGGUGGUUGGGUAAGUUAUCUUUCAAAUAUCUUUGCUUAACAAAGAGGAGGGGGAUAAUACUGCUCGACUAGAAUUUUCUCAAGGGAGAUCGGAACUGAGGGAGGAGUAGUGAAAUGCGUUGAUACCCUCGGGAACACCAGUGGCGUAGGCGGAUCUCUGGGAGAAGAUUGACACUGAGACACGAAAGCUAGGGGAGCGAAGCAGAUUAGAGACCCGCGUAGUCCUAGCCGUAAACGCAUGCUUGCUAGCUGCAUGAAUCUACCUUCGGGUGGUAUCGUGUGGCGAAGGUAACCCGUUAAGCAAGCCGCCUGGAAAGUACGGCCGCAAGGCUGAAAUUCAAAGGAAUUGGCGGGGAGGCACACAACCAGUGGAACAUGUGGUUUAAUUCGAGACUAACCGAAGAACCUCACCAGGGUUUGACAUGUAGCUGCACGUCUUAAGAAAUUAAGACUCUCUUGAAGGUGCUACACAGGUGCUGCAUGGCUGUCGUCAGCUCGUUCCGUGAGGAGUGCCCUUAAGUGGGACAACGAGCGCAACCCCUAUUACAUGUUAGAAAUGUCAUGUAAGACUGCCUUGCCAUUUGGCGGGGAGGAAGGAGGGGCAGACGUCAAGUCCGCAUGGUCCUUAUGCCCUGGGCUACACACAUGUUACAAUGAGUACGGCAAUGAGUCUGUCGCGAGCACGUAAGUGUAAGCUAAUCUCUUAAAUGUACUCUCAGUGGGGAUUGAGGUCUGCAACUCGACCUCAUGAACACGGGAUUGGUAGUAAUCGCGGGUCAGCUAUACCGCGGUGAUACGUUCUUGCCUCUUGCACACACCGCCCGUCAAACCAGCAAAGU